UACGGGGGGGGCAAGCGUUGUUCGGAAUUACUGGGCGUAAAGGGCUCGUAGGCGGCCAACUAAGUCAGACGUGAAAUCUCCGGGCUCAACCUGGGAACUGCAUUUGUGACUGCAUCGCUGGAGUGCGGCAGAGGGGGAUGGAAUUCCGCGUGUAGCAGUGAAAUGCGUAGAUAUUGGGAAGAACACCGGUGGCGCAAGCGACUUGCUGGGCCAUAACUGACACUGAGGAACGAAAGCUAGGGGAGCGAAUGGG
rnacentral:rRNA from 1 species